UCCAACCAUGAUUGAGGAUCCAGCUGUCUGAUUUAGUUUAUUUAUAGUUACAUAACAGCUGUUGACGUCCAUAUUGAGCAAUAAAUAUUGCUACAGACAAAUAUAGCUAAUAGCUUUUGUUUGCUCGUAAGUUGACUACAUAACGAAUAGUUAUAUAAAGGGAAAUAACACUUGUUAAUUGACCAGGAUAAGGACCACCAAUUAUUUGAGACUGCGGGAACACAGGCGAACGCUAUUGGUUUAGCUGUCGUGGCCUUUGUAUCAUGGCUGUUGGCAACCAAUCCGUCUGUUAGUAAUUUUUUGUCCGGAACUUUCAUUUUUACAUACACUCUAAUAUCCCUGGGUAUUCUUGUUUUUAUCAUUGGUCUAUUUGGUUGUAUUGGUGGUUGUACUGAAAGUCCCUGUCUCUUAAAAACAUAUAUUAGUUUUAUCACAGCCUUGUUUUUUCUAGAAGUUUGUACUAUUUUAGCUGCAUAUGUUCAAAAAGAUCAGAUCCCAAAGUAUACAGCUUCUGGGUGGAGAGAAUUUAACCAGGAAACCAGGGGAUUAAUACAAACAGAACUACGGUGUUGUGGUUAUAAUGAUUCAAAUGAAUAUUCAGUUACAUUAGAACAAUUACCAGACAGUUGUUUUCAGACGAGUAUACCCGGUACAAUAACAACUAAAUCAGAACAAACUGUAUUCAAGGAUGGCUGUUGGACUAAAAUAGAAGCCUGGAUAAACAGUAACACACCAAUCUGGGCGUCAACAUUAGCUAUUGUUUCUUUAGUACAGAUUGCCAGUAUGAUUACAUCAUGUUUAGUACUAGAAAAAGUUUCAAGAACAACAGGUCGAGUGUCGCCGCAUAAUGGUACCGCGGAACCAUCGGCUUUGGAUAAAGGGAGGGGGCCGGGGCCGGGAGGAAGUGGACCGAGUAGAGAAGGCAGAUUUUGAUUGACAUCGACGUAUUCUCAUUUUAAAGCUAGAUCUAUUAAUCGAAUGUUAAAUUCUCCGCAUCGUUUUUUU